rnacentral:tRNA from 1 species
UCCCUGGUGGGCUAGACGGUAAAGCGUCUGCCUGCAAUGCAGGAGACCUGGGUUCGAUCCCUGGGUUGGGAA